UACGUAGGGUGCAAGCGUUGUCCGGAAUUAUUGGGCGUAAAGGGCUCGUAGGCGGUCCAUCGCGUCGGGAGUGAAAAGCUGGGGCUUAACCCCAGUCCUGCUUCCGAUACGGGUGGACUAGAGGUAGGUAGGGGAGAUCGGAAUUCCUGGUGUAGCGGUGAAAUGCGCAGAUAUCAGGAGGAACACCGGCGGCGAAGGCGGAUCUCUGGGCCAGUAUUGACGCUGAGGAGCGAAAGCGUGGGGAGCGAACAGG
rnacentral:rRNA from 1 species